UUGUGGUUGCUGCAUCCUAAUUGAAUGUAUUUAUUUCUUUGUCUCAGAAAAUGUAAAGCAGUCCCCAGUGGCUGGCAAGCACCCCAAAGUUUGAAUGAACCUGGUUAGAUAGAGUCCAAGCAGGCAAGCCAAAAGACACCUUAAAGUCCAAGCUUCAAGGAAUAAAGAGGGAGGGUGGCAAAGAUAAAAAGAAACCUGGAAGAGGGGAAGUCCUUUCUCAAAGAAAAGACAAAGCCACAACACCAAGUUAAGGCUUCGGCUUUCCGACAUUUGCUCGAGUUCCAAAGUCAAAGCCAAGUCUGAUUUGGUUGGUUCUCCGGCCCUUGUCAAGUCCAUCUAGCAAGCCCUAAAGAGUAAAGGUCAAGAUCAAGUGACGUGGAGGUAACUGCCAAAGUUUCCUUUUAUGUUCGUGAUGCAGAAGACGCUCUUUAUAACCUGAAUAGAAAGUGGGUAUGUGGCCGGCAAAUUGAAAUACAAUUUGCACAAGGUGAUCGCAAAACACCAAAUCAGAUGAAAUCCAAAGAGCAUCACCAUGGUUCACCAAUGGACUACAGAAGGUCAAGAAGCCGCAGCCGAAGAAGGACCCGAAGCAGAAGUUCCUCAUGGGACUGGGGCAGGAGACACUCGGAUAGUUUCAGAGAGCAUUCUAGCUCACCAAGACGAUCGAUCACACCCCAAAGAAAUUCGAGUCCCAGGAGAAGGUCGCGAUCAAAGUCCUACCAGAGAAGUUCAAAGUAUGCUGAAAAAUCACCAUCUAGUUCCCAUCGGAGGCGUUCCAGUUCAAGAACAAAGUCACGAUCGCAUCCAAAACAUUCAGGAUCUCCAACUAGAUCACCCUCGAAAUCUCCUCGGAAACAUACUAAUUCCAGUUCUCGUUCAUACUCUCGGAAUUUCUAUCAGAGAAAUAGUAACCAGUCAGCAUCUGAAGAAGAUUAAUAUGGUUUUUUUAAUGACCGUGUUUAUGAGCACAAAUUAA
rnacentral:lncRNA from 11 species